GACGAACGCUGGCGGCGUGCCUAAUACAUGCAAGUCGAACGCAGUGGGGACGGGAGAGUAAAACGUGGGUAACCUGCCAUCAGAGGGGAUAACACUUGGCAACAGGUGCUAAACCGAUAUCGAUGGAUGGACCCGGGGUGCAUUAGCUAGUCGGUGGGGUAACGGCUCACCAAGGCCACGAUGCAUAGCUGGCCUGAGAGGAUGAUCGGCCACACUGGGACUGAGACACGGCCCAGACUCCUACGGGAGGCAGCAGUAGGGAAUCUUGGACAAUGGACGAAAGUCUGACCGAGCCAUGCCGCGUGAGUGAAGAAGGUUUUCGGAUCGUAAAACUCUGUUGUUAGAGAAGCGGUAUCUAACGAGAAAGCCACGGCUAACUACGUGCCAGCAGCCGCGGUAAUUC
rnacentral:rRNA from 1 species